UGCUCGGGGUUAGGCUGGGCAUCGGUCAGCGGGUGGAUGUUUCAUUAAUUUCCAUAUGCACUUCAGGAAAAAUCUGCCUAAGGAGGAGUAUAGAAGGGUAUCCACAAAUAUGUCCACUGACUUGUGUUUGAGCUGACUCCUGGAAAAAAGAGUGGCUAUUUGUACAGCUUCUGAGUUAGGGUCACAUUAGAAUGAUAUGUGCUGUCAUUAGAAGCCGUGAAGUCCAUCAUAAAAUACCACAUGUUGACUCUAGCAGAAAUAGAGGCAACUCCGGAAUUUCAGGAGAGUUGUCCUUGCUCAGACUAGAAUCAGAAUUUGAACCCUUCAAAAAUUACAAAAAACAAAAACAAAAGCACAACAAACAACCAAACAAAAAAAGUCUCAUGAACAAUUAGAAUAAAUGAAAGAAAAACAUCAAGUAUGAGGGUAGAAUAAAAGAUAGUGUUCCAGCAAGCAUCUCUGUAAUACUUCUGAACCAAGAUGUCCAUUUCCUGAUAUAUAUUAAAACAAAACAAAACAGAAAAACACACACACACACACACACAAAAAACACUAUAGGAAGAACCUGAAAGGUUAUAAUCACUGUUUGCUUCAGUAAAAUUAAAUGCAGCUCAGAUGUGUAUAUGUGUGCAAAAGUAAAAGUAAAAAUUGGGACUUUAUAACAAAAUAAGAUGAAGGUGGGAGAUAUUUAAAAACACAACUUAUUACUAAAUUGCAGACUAAAGCUACAGUCAUGGAUAUAAAAAUAAAAAUGAGACACAGAAAGAAUUGAAAUUAUGCAAUUUAAUGAAAUACAUUUUAUUAGCCAAAAAAUUAGAAAUUAUUAAAAGUUUUAUUCGUUACAAAAUGUGACUCUAUUACCAGAAAUCAUAACAUUUUAGAGAGAGAAUAAUAUCCCACUUGUUUUACAACCAUCAUCAAAUAUUUAAACCUUGAGCCUUAUUCUGUUAAUGUAAAUGUAAAAGCUUACAUUAGAAAAAGAUACAGUAAGAGCAGAGUUAAAAGUGCAAUCUCUUUAAAUCCAUUAUGUCAGCAUUGUACUGCGUUUAUAAGCUGUGUCCACCUAUGGUACUGAGAAAACAGCAAAUGUCCUACAAUAUCAACUCCUUCUAAGCUAUGUAUAACAUCUCCAACAGAAGUGGAAGUAUUCCCAUCAUAUAUUUGAAGGGAAUAUGCUUCUGCUAUAAGUAAAAGCAAGAAUUCACGCUGACUAAAAAUUCAAGAACAGGAAAAAGGUUAUAGUGUAUUCAUGCUCUGCUGUGGAAAAUAAAAAAAAGUAUAAACAAAAGAAGGAGCAAAUAGCCCAUAUAUUCAUCUUAGAGACAAAAAGUUUAUAGAAAACCCUGUUCAGUCUCUACAUACACUCUGUUGCUGGCACUGACAUACUGGCCUUCUCCCUGAAGGCAGAGAGCUACCAUCCCUCUAAUGCAGUGCCUGCAGUACUGAGAUCAUCCUCCUUGCAGCACAGCCCUGCUGGUGCUGCUGCACCUUGGCAUGCAGCUUGGACAAGGGCUGGGGUCUGUGACCAGGGGUGUCUGAUAGAGCAUCCCAGGUGAAUGUGGUCAAGGGAGUUAUGGUCUGUUGGCAUGCUCAGGCACCUGACACCUGGUAAACCAGGCUGUCUAUUUUCUGCCCCACAUCAGAGGAUAAGUUUACCAAUUCAAAAAUAUGAGAUGCUAAUUUUCAAAGCGGUGAGACUGCUUCAUCAGCCAUCAGCUUCUAACUAACUAAAUAACUAACAAAAAAGAAACACACACACACACACAAAACAAAUUAAAACUAACAUAACAACCCCACCUCCCCACCCUCACCCCAAAAAUCAAUUUGGAGACUAAACCACAGUUUCUGAUGCCCAUGGAAAUGCUGAUAUAGACAUAUAUACACACACAAAUUCCUUUUGACCAUAGUUAGCUUUGAAUGUGACCUGUAUCCCACAGAGUGCAAUAUUUCAUGAUGUAUGAAUUACAGCAAGCUGAAAAUAAACCAAAUACUUUCACAUAAAAUACUUUCUAUUAACUGUAAUAAUCAAAAGGUUUCCUCUGACUUGCUAUGUAAUGAAUUGAAACAAAAUUGAAAUUUAACUGACCUGUUGUCUGUAUUAAACAUGGAUGAUUUUUCCCCCUCUUUGUCUUAAAACAAAAGCCUGUAUUCUGAGAUUGCUUUUAUACUGUAUUAAGACUAUACCUAGUAUAGUUUAAAAUGUGAAAUAAGUAAGUUUCCAGCAAUGCUGUUAUCUCAACUACAUUAUAUAAACAUAGGAAUUUCUUGUUCCUUGCCAAUAAAGGCAUUUCUGUAACUGUUAUUUUACAGGAUGUAUAUAUAUAUUUAUUCCUGGAUAGCAUUUUUUUUCUUAUUAUACAUGAUUAUAUUGGAAAAUAUCAAAGCUAUAUGCAACAGCUGAGGCUAUCUUUCUUUUGAAGUUUUAACACCUGCAUUUUGGAGUUGUUUGUAUAUUGUAGACACAUAGAGCUUACCACUGAAUUAGUCUUAAAUUAUUGCAUCCCUUCCUCCCCA